rnacentral:rRNA from 1 species
GGCCUUGACAUACUAAGAACUUUCCAGAGGAUGGAUUGGUGCCUUCGGGAACUUAGAUACAGGUGCUGCAUGGCUGUCGUCAGCUCGUGUCGUGAGAUGUUGGGUUAAGUCCCGCAACGAGCGCAACCCUUUUCCUUAUUUGCCAGCGGGUCAUGCCGGGAACUUUAAGGAUACUGCCAGUGACAAACUGGAGGAAGGCGGGGACGACGUCAAGUCAUCAUGGCCCUUACGGCCAGGGCUACACACGCGCUACAAUGGUCGGUACAAAGGGUUGCUACCUCGCGAGAGGAUGCUAAUCUCAAAAAGCCGAUCGUAGUCCGGAUCGCAGUCUGCAACUCGACUGCGUGAAGUCGGAAUCGCUAGUAAUCGCGGAUCAGAAUGCCGCGGUGAAUACGUUCCCGGGCCUUGUACACACCGCCCGUCACACCAUGGGAGUUUGUUGCACCAGAAGUAGGUAGUCUAACCGCAAGGAGGACGCUUACCACGGUGUGGCCGAUGACUGGGGUGAAGUCGUAACAAGGUAAGCGUAGAUGA